ACGUAGGUAGCGAGCGUUAUCCGGAUUCACUGGGCGUAAAGGGUCCGCAGGAGGCCUGUCAAGUCGGAUGUGAAAGCCCAAGGCUCAACCUUGGAACGUCAUCCGAAACUGCCGGUCUAGAGUGCAUGAGGGGUAGGCGGAAUUCCUGGUGUAGCGGUGAAAUGCGUAGAUAUGAGGAGGAACACCGGUGGCGAAGGCGGUUUUCUGGAAUGCAACUGACUCUGAGGCGCGAAAGCGUGGGGAGCGAACAG
rnacentral:rRNA from 1 species